rnacentral:lncRNA from 1 species
GCUAUAUUACGGCGUUCGAAAAAAUAACUGUGAAAAUCGCUUUCAAAAAUCAACCUAAAUUUUAACUGUCAUUUUUGUUAAAGUCAACAUUAAUUUUUACAAUAUCUUAUUUUUAUUUCAAAUUUACAAAGUCGAAGAAUCGAAAACUACUUGUUAACUUACUAUUAUAUUAAUAGAAAACAAAGCUUCUGUUGAUAUUACAUAUUUAGAAAACUAAGUUUGUGAUACCUAUUUCCAAAGUUUCCAUGUAUCAUGUAUCCAAAUCUUCAGGUGAUAUCACAUCAUCACUGGAAAGCAGUCUCCAACUAGAUUUCUUCUGUGCAAAGCAAAGUCUCUGCUAACAUCUCAUUGAAAAGCUCUAAGACCAUUUCUGAUAUGGACAACAAAAUAUAUUGUCCUUAAAAGACCCAAGUUGAGCAGAUAUUUUGGCUUUUGGAGAAAAGAUGAAAGAAAUAGAAAAGAAGAAACAAUGAAAGUAGACAGUAGGAAUUAACCCACUUCAGCAGAGAUAAAAGACGAGUAUGCCGAAGGUAAUUUCGAGCCACGACCAACAUCUGAAUGGAGUGUUCAUGUUAAAGUUCCAACUUCAAGAGAAAAUCUUCAUCGAAUAAUUAUGUGAAACUGUUCAAAUCAGCUGAAAGAGUGAACGGAUGAUCCAAAAACAAAACCUGACUAUGGCUCUUUGAGAUGUUUUUGAUGUGCUUCGGACCAAAGCCACAGAGCCAAACAGAGACAGAUGCUUUUGAUCAGCUUAAGAAGAGACCAAACAUAUGAUAUGGUCACAAACAUUUGGUGCAAUGUGAAUGAAAUUGUUAAAAUGCUUUUUUACUACUCAUCUCUUCUUAUGAGCAUCAGACAAGCAGUGUAAAGUAUCUAGGGCUUAUUUACUAGCAUGGUAAAAGUUUUUGUUAGACAUGAAGCAUCUUGUAGGGGACUAUUCCCAAGGCAUUACAUUUGAAAUGUUAUAGAAGCAAACAUGAGAUUCCUUCUGAUUGCGAAACAUUUACGAAGAUCUUUUUACCAUGGUUUGUGACGUAGUACAAUGUAAUUCUUCUCUAGGAAGAUUGUAAUAACCAAUCAUAAGAGUUGUAUCUGUUUUGUGUUAAUAUUUAUCCAGUUAACUUAUUAAAUAUAAAAUAUUUUCUUUUUUAAAGAUAUUAAAUGUAAACAGUCUUAUCUUUCAGCUAAGCCAAUAGAUUACAGAACUGUAUUCCUUUCAGUUUGAGAUACUAACAAUAGAUAAAAUAAUAAUUUUAACUCUA